AGCCUUAUAGUUAAGUUUAAUAUUAAGUUGCAAACUUAAAGAUGAAAGGUAAUUUUCUAAGGCUU
rnacentral:tRNA from 1 species